UUCUUGAUCUUUUCAGCUCAUUCCGGUGUUCAUUCACUUCUCUAAUUCUAUCUUAUGCUUUCGCUUCUUUUGUUUGAUCAAUGAUCCGUUUGUUUGUGUUUGAUUUAUCAUUAGAAAAAUUCUCCACUAAACGAAGCUAAUUUUCCUAACCCUAAUUGCAUCUCUUAAAACCAAAACUAACUCCGCCUGCUCCUGAUAUUUUUACAUGCUGGUAAUAGCGGUUUUGUAUUCCUCUAAUCCCACGGUUUAGACGAUGCAGAUGGAGAUUGGUGUUUGUUCAUACCAUCAUGCACAAUAAAUGCUAUUAGCUUGGUAUCAAUGUUCCAAAUAUGAUCAGGCAACAAUCUAGAUUUUACUCACAAAGUCAGUGAAUGUUCCAAAUAGACCAUUUACCUAUGUAUUUAGAGUGUGCGAAAGGGGUACGUAAGACGCUUGAUAAAACAUCUAUUAUAUGUCAAGAGUUGUUUUAUUUUUUGGAAAACAGGGCCAUCUUUGUUUAUCUGUAAUUGUUCAUCUGUUCAUCUAACAAAUGCGAUUUAACAAGUUUUGGUAUUAAAUGCUUUUCAAUGGCUAAGGUUUUAGUAUAAAAUCCAUUUUACAACUCUAACUGUAGACUGAUGUUCAUCUUAAGAGAACUUUUGUCAAAGCAUCAUUUGUGCUCGAUGAUUGUUUAUCGUUGUCUAUGAGUUUUUACCUUUAUCUAUAUUUAUCUAUCUAUACUUGAAUCUCUGCCCCUAAUCUUUGCUGCAUAACCUGUGGAUGUCAUAGUGCACUAUGUAAGCAUUCCUAUUCGUGCCAAAACAGAACAAAGCCUUUACUUAUUUGAUGUGGCUUAUUUGUGAUUUAUUGUGUUAACUUUACAAUGGGGUUUUAUUUUCAUGAUUACAGGAAAGGGCAGAUAAGGCUCAACCCCCAAACCUACGAAUAUGUUAGCCUUACUAGGUUAACUGUGUAGAAAUUUGCCAAUGAUUUUCUCCCAAACGAUGCAGGAGCAUAAGAAUGAAAGUCACCCUUUGAGAGACGUCUUACUGCGUGCAGACUAUAACGUUAAAGAGUUGAUCGAGUGUAUUUGAGCACGCCUACAAAGAUUUCCAUCAUAGACCAUGAGAAGAGAAGAACCUUUGUACUGGGAAAAGAAAACAUGCCUGAUGCAGGUUCAUUUAAUCUAAUUGGUUGGCACCAUUAUAUCUUUUCUGAGUUUAGGGUCUAAAUGGUGAUUGGUCCAUUCUCCGCUUUUUAAAUCUUUGGCAUUGCAGUUUCUGUAACUAAAACGCCUUGUCAAUGGGUUUGGACAACGAUUUAUUUUUUGAUUUUUUCUGCUACUUUAUUCUUAUACUUUUGGUUUUCAUGAAGUUGGAACCAUUGGUUCACUAGAAGAGAAAACAAGGAGAUGGGUUUGCUGUUGAUGUUGGUUUGAUUUGGUGGUUGUGAAAUUUGAGUUGUAGUGGCGACUGAAGCUGAUUAUGGUUGUCCCAGGAAGUGGUGCAGAUGGUUUGGUGAUGUGUCUGCUGCUACGGUGAAGGUUACCGAGGCUGACAAUGAAAAUAGAAGAAUUCUUUGGAUUACAUCAAUCGAAGAAUGAAGUUGAUACCGUGAUUAGGAUGGUUUGAUUAAUAUUUGGUUAUUUCUUUGGAUUUCUACAGUGGUUAUAGGAUGGUUUGAUUAAUGUUUGAUUAAUGCUUUGGAUUUUCGAACACUAAAAUAUUGUUUCUCCUCUAAAAAUUUUGCUGUCUUUGAUUACUUCACUGAUGUAAUUCCCUUUGAUGAUUGCAAAUAGUUCUUCUCUUUGUAUUACUAAUUUUGUGAGUGCUUUUUGGUAUGAAGCCAUGUGUAUCAAUAUAUAUAUAAAUGUAUGGCAAGGAAACAGAUGUACAGCGUGGACUGUAAGAUGACUUCGACAAGAAUAGGUAUUUGCCUACUUGGAGCUACAAAAAUGAUGUUUAUUCUUCUCUGGUGUCGAAUUUGCUGGGACACCAGGAGUCAACUUAUCGAGCUUUAAUUGUUUCUGGAAAUGCCAAGCAUCAAAUCAUCACAAAUUGGCACUUUGUGCUACCAUCGAUCACUGAGGUUAAGAUUCAGGGGUUGACUUUGUCAUUUUCUUUUCUAUGAUGGUAAGUCUUAGGUUAUCUACUACAAGUCUGCGACCUAAAAUAGACGACAGGUGACCUGGAGCAUGCUCCACAACCUACUUAACAAUGCUUCAGCUCAUUACCCAGGCUGUAGGACUUACAUGCAUCUUUGAUCCUGAAAUUUAAAUGGAAUCUCUUCUUGCCGAUUUGAAGGGGUUUUAACUCUCCUAUACGGAAGGCUUUGACAUCCUAAAAGUACUCGCAACUAGGAGUUGGAGAAAAAACCUCUGGAUGAUGUGAAAGUUCAUAGAUCUGAUCUGGAUUUUGUCGACCUUAUAUGUUUGCUUGACAUAUUUUGUCGAUCCAGAUUUGAUAUAUCAGCUACGGCCUUAAAGGUUCCAAGUAUACCGGCUGUUAGAACCCCUUUGACACCCAUAGUAAUUAUUAGAUAGCAAUUGGUACAUUAAAAAAUUACUAUAUAACUCAGCAUACAAAGAUUAUGUGAGAACAGUUCAAUGCA